AUCACCUCCUCUCAGCUCCAGGUCCUCCACUCGACGACCCUGAAAAUGUUGUCCCACAAUGGGGUGAGAUAUCAUCUCGGCGAGUCUAAGCUCUAAACCCCAAUUGGGAGGGAAAUACGCCAAGAAGCGUCCUAAGCACGCAAUCACACAAUCAAGGAGACUUACCUCGUCUCAGAUCCACCCUGCAGGUCAGUACAAUUUAUCUCACAGACAACACGAGAGCAUGAGCAACAAAUAAGCUCCAGAAAUUGAAACACCACACUCAAUUAAUCAUGCGUUCUUAGAUUUGAUCUCGGCAUAUAGCACGGCCUACUCUCAGUUCGGCGGUCUUCUGGCAUUGCCAGGCAUCGUCUCACCCCAUUGAGCACGGCAACGUCUCUUUAUCAGACGGCUUUCCCGAAGGAGCAUAGGGUCCAGAAUCAACUGCGACCGGCUUCCCGUUGUCUAGGGGGUAUCCCAAAUAGGGAUAACGUCCAGCUCAACAGCUCGGGACGAUUUCUCAUAACCAUCACACGAUCACUCAAAUAUGGCCCAGGGCACCGUGCAUUGCACUCAAAUGCUUCAAUUAAAAUGGUGAGCCUGGCCUUUUUCUUCGUAUUAAAAAUUCACAUGAAAUUACUCGUGUGUGGGUACACGGUCAACUUGAUCCAGAAAAAUUGAUAUUCAUCCUUUUUAAAAACCCACUAUUUCAUAUAGUACUAAAAACUAUUUUCGGUGUCAAAACCCGACACCUGGGAUUUUCUGAAUAAAUAUUGGAAAUUCACAAUUUUUGGAAUUAAAUACCAAAAGUCAAAUCAACACUCAAUUUGCAUAAUUUAACAUUCAAUUGCAGAAAUUAAC
rnacentral:lncRNA from 1 species